CCUCUCUGGACCCCGGUGCCCCAUCUGUAGCGUGGGACAAGGUGAUAUGAAUGAUCCUGGUGGGAGAUUUUCCUCCGGGGGAAACUACCCCCAAGCCAAGCUCCGUCUCCCACUCCUCCACCCAUUUCAGAAAUGGUUGAGGGAUCCCGGCAGAGCCGCCAAGACAUUGUCCUGCUGCUGGCUAUUUUGGUCCAAAUACCCUGGAAUUGAUAAGCUCCCACUGAACCAAAAUUAACCUUGGCAACAGCUGUUGGGCAACAGGCCCCCAGAGACCCUGCCCGGGUCCCCCGCCCCUACACAGACUGGUGGAGGCUCAGAUUCUAAACCAUAAGAGCUAAGCCCCAGCCUUUUUCAAAGGUACAUGCAGUCUCGAUGCCUCCGAUGGAUCAAAAACCUGAGCCUCUGGGACGGAGCCAACAGCUCAACAGAUGACAAGUGCUUGCAGAAGACCCGGGUGGAGGAGGGUUGGGUACAGAGUUCCAGGGAACAGCUCUUGGGGUCCUGCAGCUCUUUCUCUGCUUACCCUCCGGGCCACCCUGCCAGACCCCCGGAAUCCUGUGUCCCUACUUUCCCAGGAACUCCCACUUGCCUGUAUGGCCCCCAGGUGCAGGGUGGAGCCCCCAUCCUGCCCCACCCUGGCAUCAUCCCCUUGAAGAGGCACCUGCAAGGGGGAGGGGGAGGCAUAAUCUACCCUCCUAGAGUGGGCGAAAGUACCGGGACCGCAUGAAUGAUGCCCUGCUGCAGUGUCACACAAAGCACAGGCAGGUGCAGGAUCAAAAGGUCCCCCUAUUGCGACUUUGCGGGAGCGCCCUGCUCCAUCCCUUACAACCUCUGCCUUUCCGGGUUGGGUCGGGUUGAGGCGGGGCUCCGGGUGCUUACUCCAGGGCUGAGAGAGCCGGCCUGUCAGUGGUCUAAGCCCUCGGCGUCACUGUCUCAGGACAUCUGGGUUUGGUUGGGCUCCCAUCUCACACGUGCGCAAGGCUGCGCCUGCGUCUCCAGCGUCCUUCCUGCCAGCUAGUCUGGUUGGCUGCAGCCCUGGCCUGGGGGUCCCACUGCGAGUCACCGAAACUUCCACAGGCCACUUGAUCUCUCUGGGGACGCACUUCUCAGCCUGGGGUCCGUGGCCCCUCGGUGAUGAACACUUUUCAGAAUUAAAAAAAACGAACAACAACAAUCUGGUGAAAACUGGGAAGGAGGCCUCCCAGAGUAACUGCUGCAGUUCUUGGUGACGGACCUGACGGCAGCCCUAGUUCUGCGCUGAGCAGACACCGGCACCCGCGGAUGACUUUGACUAAUGGACACAGAGCUGCGUUUCUACCCCAGGAAGGGGGCCCCUCACAGCCGGAUGGAAAAUGUUGCAGGUGACAGGGACCGACCUUCAGAGACUUGGUCAGCUCCUCCUUUGUGGUGCCUGUUCAAGAGGCUCAGAACCUGCCGUGCCAAAUACCCAAGGGUCAGCUUUCAGAAGUCUCCCUCUGCUGAGCCACGCUCCCCACUCCGACUCUAGACUAUCUGAGAGAGACACGUGUGCACACACCUUAGCUCUCUCCAGCUCUGGCUGACUUUCUGAGCACCGUUAUAGGCUCCCUCGUUCCCUCUGUGGCGUGUGCGCUUUGACGAAGCGAGCUGCUGCAUCGGAGUGGCCGGCACGGCAAGGACGGGAGGAUGGCCUCGGAUCAGUAGCCUGUGAGGAACUGAACCUUACCAACAACAACAGAGAGAGUGGGAGAGCUUGCAUGCACACACCUGAGCAGGGUUUGGGGAAGGCCAGGGGAGCAGGAGAGAGAGCUCAAGCAGGCUCCUUGUCCAGCAAGGAGCCGGACUCAGGGCUCAAUCCCAUGACCCUGAGAUCACGACCUGAGCCGAAAUCAAGAGUCGGACACAACUGCCCGAGCUCCCCAGCUUCCAAGUUUGGCUCAAAGAAACUUGGCCUCCUCCAGGGAGUCCUUCCAGAAUUGCCCUGGAUAAUUCCCCUCGUUCUCCGUCCUGGAAGAACAGGUGCCGUGCUGUGGAUGGGGCUACAAGAUGGAGCAGGAACAGCUCUGUGCUUAAGGAGCCCAUGGCUGAGGAGGCAGCUAUGGGAAAAGGCUGUGUCUCUUCUGCAAGUAAAGUAGUCUCGCCACCCCUCAGCUGCUUCAUCUGUAAGACGGGAUGCAUGGUAGCCAUCGGUCAUUGAGAAGAUUCGGUGAGGGAGAGCGUUCAGAUGGGCACGUGGCACAACUUCUCACGAGCAGCGGUGUCCCGACACCGUCAACCAUGGAACACUUCCUGCAACAAGCAUCUGUUGCUCGCCUCAUAUUCACAGGGAAGGCACCCACCUGGGUCCCUGACAGGCGAAGAUAGAGUAGAGGGCGUCCAUCCUCAGAUGACUCACCAUCUUCGUCAAGAGACCGGGACACACGGCAGCAGCAGACAGCAGACAGUUCAAGGACGCGCCGUGUACGAUAACCACCGAGCAAAUCUCCCGGGCUCACAGAUGUCACAGGCAUUUGGAGGAGUCAGGGAUGCCUGGGCUGGCGUGAGUGGGGCAAGGUACGUCUUGACACUGUUGGCCAUAUUUUCCAAUUCGGAUCUGGGAGCACAUGGCCAUGUGGCUUCAUGCUUCUGUACCCUGGCGCACAGCGUUCCCUCUGCCGGCCCACCUGGCACACUCCUGCUCACCCUUGAAGACACCGCGCAUUUUUCCAGGUGGCCUUGACCUUCCCAGGUGCGGACAAAUACUUCCUCCUCUGCAUCUCUUGCUCCCCGGGCUUCUAUUCUUGUUCCCUGGGUGCAAUGUGACAUCUAUUGAUGACAUGCUUGUCUCCUCUGCUGGAGGGUUAGUGAGCUCUGGUGUGAGAAAACAGGUCCUUGUGAGCAAGGACAGCAGACAAAGAUCUGCUGUGAGCAAAGAUCUGCUUGUGAGCAAAGAUCGCGUCUGUUCCACCUUGAAAUCUCGGAACCCAGCAUAGGGUAGGGCCCUGCCUGGGGCACUGAUCCCAGCUCAGUGUCUUUGCUGAAUGAGUGAAUGAGUGCACACAUGGAUAAAUGAAUAGUUCUGCCCUGAGGAACGAUCACUGGACCAAGUAUUUGAAGUCUGAAUUGCUUCCGAAAGCUCGAGAGGUACGAGUCUCUGUAAUCAUGCCACCAGACUAUGGGUUCAGCCCCACAAAUCCUGCAGACUGCUCGGUGGCCGCCGUGGCUUCUGCUCCUGGCCCACACCCUCCCUCACAAUAAGAAGCCCCGUGAUCCCAAGCCCUCUCAUUAACCAUUUAUAGGGCCGCAAAGCCCCUUAUACCUGUGAUCUCAGUUGACCCUUGAAGAAUAGUCAGGUGGACAGGCCGUGGGUCAUUGUGUCUGUUUUAUAGAAAUCAAGACUUAAAUGGCUCAACUUUUCCAAACCAGAAACGAGCUUCCCGUGCUCCUUGUGCGGCUCCCGUGUCCUCGAGUGGGGUUCUAUAACAAUGAGAGAUGAGUCCGUGGCUGCAGAGUGGAGGCCCUGAUUAGAUACAGGUCCUCAGAGCCUGGCAUUUCAAGGUUUAUUUUGGACCAGCCACACAUCUCUGAUUGCACGGCAGCCUUUAAGCUGUCCUCACUAGCCGCCCCUGCCCUCCCCCACCCCAGCUCGCAGCCCUGCGUGGGCCCCGGGCACCUCCUCGUGCAUGCCUGCGGGCACUUCCUCCUUCCAGGUGUGUCUUUCUGAGAGGGCAGAUGGGAACAAAUAGUAUAAAACCUCCAGAAUUCUUUCUAGUAAAUGCGGAGGCACACAGGAGGCUAUUUUUAUGUGAAUUUGUAUGUGAUUUGCAUAAAUCUGCAUAUAUUUCCCCAAGCCAUGACACUGAGCUCAUGAAGCAAACCAUUAAUGGGUGAAUCCGCUUCAUUCAUGCCAGCCAAUGGCAGGAGUAGAUGCAUCUGCUAUCCUAGCUGCCCUGGCUGUAUUUCCCCCCCUGAGAUUUCUUCUAAUUUAAGAUGAAAUCAUUUUCAGCAUUACCGAAGACCUCAAAGGAUAUAGGAAACAUGACAUUUAUAUAAUAAUAAUAAUUAAUAAUAAUAAGUCUCUAACUCAGAUGGCUUGCUAUAUAGUAAGCAUUGCUCUAUCAGGUGUAAUUAUAUUAUCUUUUUUUUGGGCAAAUAUAUAUUUUUUUAUCUUCUCAGUAAUCCAAAUGGUGAGUCCCAUCACUAUCCUUAUUUUACAGAUGAGGAAACUGAGGUUCACAGGGUUGGGGUAACAUGGCUUGUCACCGACUCAAACAGGGGCACCUGGCUUCAUUUAUUCAUACAGCAAAUUUUAGCUUAAGCACCUGCUACGAGCCAGGUAUUAUUCCAGACACUGGAAAUACUGCAGCGAACAGUAAAAAUAGAAAGUCCAGGCGUCACAAAGCAUCAGGGUGCUUAGGUAGGGUGAGGUUGGGUUGCUGUAACAAAGAGACCCUAAAUUUAUUCAAUCAAAGAACAAAGAAGUGAAUUUCUCUCUCAACUGGUAAUUCAAGGCCUGUUUCCCAGGUUGGUGGGCAGCCCUGCUCCACCUGUCACUGGGGAGAACCCAGGUUCCUUCCAAGCUUUUGCUCUGCUGGGCACCUGGGACACUGUCUUCACCUGGUUGGGUGGCCCGGGCUGCCGCCCUGCAGUGUAGCGGCAGGAAGGUGGGAGGGAGCGCGCAGAGGCCACCCUCGGUGCUGAAGUCUGGGCCUCCGGGCAGAGGCAACAGUCAUUUCUGUUUCCUUUCUGUGUGUAACCUGGUCCUCUGGCCACAUCCAACUCCAAGAGGGGCUGGGAACGGGGUCUGGCCGGGCCCCGGGAGGACAGGAGAAUGGCUCUGGGUGGGCAGCCAGCAGCUUUGCCACAGCAUGACGUUCGUCAAGCAAGUGACGCUAUUGGAUGGUGUCACACAGUGAUAAGAGCAAUGAAGAAAAAUGAAACAAGGGAAGGGCCUGGAAGGUGAUGGGGACAGAUUUGUCAACAGUCAUGAGCUCUUAAUCACGGUUCUGAACUGACCCCCUGCAACCACCCCCACGUUCACAGCGACGGCGCUACAGGCUCAGGAGACACCCAAGCACUUCCUGAGCCAAAUAAGGCCAAGUCAGGUCCAGCUGAGUAACCAGAGGCUCUGGCCAAGCCACAGUUUACUGGACUUGACCUUCAGGGAGGCUCUCAUGCCUUUUUCCAAGGUGUUUUUAUUUAUUAGACACAUUACUCUCAUUUUAAAAGUUCCUUGUGGUGUCUAGGGCAAGUACUGUCAUUCCCCUUUGACAAUGGGGCAUCUUGAAGCUGGAGAAUGUUCGGUUCAGUUAAAAAAUAAACUGUAGGGGCCCCUGGAUGGCUCAGCAGUUGAG